rnacentral:rRNA from 1 species
UUGAAGAGUUUGAUCAUGGCUCAGAUUGAACGCUGGCGGCAGGCCUAACACAUGCAAGUCGAGCGGUAGCACAGAGAGCUUGCUCUCGGGUGACGAGCGGCGGACGGGUGAGUAAUGUCUGGGAAACUGCCUGAUGGAGGGGGAUAACUACUGGAAACGGUAGCUAAUACCGCAUAAUGUCGCAAGACCAAAGUGGGGGACCUUCGGGCCUCAUGCCAUCAGAUGUGCCCAGAUGGGAUUAGCUAGUAGGUGGGGUAACGGCUCACCUAGGCGACGAUCCCUAGCUGGUCUGAGAGGAUGACCAGCCACACUGGAACUGAGACACGGUCCAGACUCCUACGGGAGGCAGCAGUGGGGAAUAUUGCACAAUGGGCGCAAGCCUGAUGCAGCCAUGCCGCGUGUGUGAAGAAGGCCUUCGGGUUGUAAAGCACUUUCAGCGGGGAGGAAGGCGAUAAGGUUAAUAACCUUGUCGAUUGACGUUACCCGCAGAAGAAGCACCGGCUAACUCCGUGCCAGCAGCCGCGGUAAUACGGAGGGUGCAAGCGUUAAUCGGAAUUACUGGGCGUAAAGCGCACGCAGGCGGUCUGUCAAGUCGGAUGUGAAAUCCCCGGGCUUAACCUGGGAACUGCAUUCGAAACUGGCAGGCUAGAGUCUUGUAGAGGGGGGUAGAAUUCCAGGUGUAGCGGUGAAAUGCGUAGAGAUCUGGAGGAAUACCGGUGGCGAAGGCGGCCCCCUGGACAAAGACUGACGCUCAGGUGCGAAAGCGUGGGGAGCAAACAGGAUUAGAUACCCUGGUAGUCCACGCCGUAAACGAUGUCGAUUUGGAGGUUGUGCCCUUGAGGCGUGGCUUCCGGAGCUAACGCGUUAAAUCGACCGCCUGGGGAGUACGGCCGCAAGGUUAAAACUCAAAUGAAUUGACGGGGGCCCGCACAAGCGGUGGAGCAUGUGGUUUAAUUCGAUGCAACGCGAAGAACCUUACCUGGUCUUGACAUCCACAGAACUUAGCAGAGAUGCUUUGGUGCCUUCGGGAACUGUGAGACAGGUGCUGCAUGGCUGUCGUCAGCUCGUGUUGUGAAAUGUUGGGUUAAGUCCCGCAACGAGCGUAACCCUUAUCCUUUGUUGCCAGCGGUUAGGCCGGGAACUCAAAGGAGACUGCCAGUGAUAAACUGGAGGAAGGUGGGGAUGACGUCAAGUCAUCAUGGCCCUUACGACCAGGGCUACACACGUGCUACAAUGGCAUAUACAAAGAGAAGCGACCUCGCGAGAGCAAGCGGACCUCAUAAAGUAUGUCGUAGUCCGGAUUGGAGUCUGCAACUCGACUCCAUGAAGUCGGAAUCGCUAGUAAUCGUAGAUCAGAAUGCUACGGUGAAUACGUUCCCGGGCCUUGUACACACCGCCCGUCACACCAUGGGAGUGGGUUGCAAAAGAAGUAGGUAGCUUAACCUUCGGGAGGGCGCUUACCACUUUGUGAUUCAUGACUGGGGUGAAGUCGUAACAAGGUAACCGUAGGGGAACCUGCGGUUGGAUCACCUCCUU